GAGACGGGGUCUCUGCUGGGACAAACAUCAAGAACGCGAAAGCGAUUUGGGGGGAAAAAAAACACCUGCGACUUCUGACUGAACUGAACUAUGCGCGGGCUCGUAUGAAUGUCUAUUUUGUUUCAUCAGAUUCCUUCUCAGACAGCAGGUGGUAAAACUUCAGGCAGAGCCGCGGUGUCCUGUGAUUGGUCAGAAACAAGCCAAUCACGGAGGCUGGAGUUCUGUAACCUCUCUAUCACAGCGUCAUUGGUGAAUGCUGAUUGGCUAUAAACAGGAGAGGUUAAAGGUCUCGUUCUGUCAGUGUUUUCCGUCUGAUCCUCCGAUGGAUGCUCUUUUGAAAUGCUCUUCCUGGAGACAGGGGGUCUGGCUGCGCUCUGACCCAGAGGAAGAGGGGCCAUGUGGGGCCGCCGACCCCCUCCUGAGCCCAAGAGCCUCCACAGAGCCACACGAGGACAUGCAUCCAUCAGAGAGCGGGGUAAAUCAACACAUGAAAAUGCAUCAUAUUGUUGCCUUCAUGUCAGGAGUGCAUCAGUGAUGGGCCAAACAUACGCAAAUGAUGCAAAUUCUCAAGGGUUCUGCUUUAUUGAUGUCAUUCAUCAGCAGUUUCUACAUGAGGAGAUUAACAUCAGAUCCAAAUAUCUCAUUCACCUUGAAAGCAUCUCAAAGCCUUUUUAUAUAAUGCUUUUAUUGUCGAGGAGCAGAGGAUUUUCACCCGUUGACCAUGCAGGGACCCGUUUAUCAGACCUGUGAUUAGGAUCCCAUGGAGUCUGACAGAGCCGCUGGCCCGCAGGAGUCCAGUGCCAUGAGGAUGGAGACGGAGCCGGUGAGGAAACGGAAAGCGAUAUGGAGGAGAUCUGCUGAUCUUCCAAGUAUUCCAGAACCUGCUUAACUUAAACUGUAUCCUGCCCUGAUCACAGCAGGGUUUGGUUUGGACUCACUAUCAAAAAUAUCCUCUGUGAUACUGAUGUGUGUGUGUGAGACCAUUAUCUACAGUCCAAUUCAGUGUCAUUGCCUCACUUUCCAAUGAAAAUAUCAGAAAAUCCUUCAAAUAAAUUAAGUUUCCCAAUCUUUUUCUACAAGCAUUGUUUUAAAUUGGUUUGUACUUUAAAUUUAGAAUGAGAUAUUGCAGUGCACCAAAAUAUCUGACCUCCAAAAAAACAAAGUUUAUGUUUAAAUGCGAGUUUUUAAAAAGGAAACAACAUAACAUUAAACUUACAGUAUGU